UACGUAAAAUUUGGUAUAUAAUUUUCAUAAUUGAAGAGGAAAAGGAUAAUAUUCCAACAAAAUUCCAUUAUCUCUUCCAUUAGAGAAAACUUGGAUCAAUCAAAUUUGUCAAUAAAUUGAAAAAAUUUUUGGACUGAAAAAACUCAACUAAUAGGUGUUAUAGAUUUAUUUAGGUAUCUAAUCAAAAAUAAUCACUAUUUGAGUGUGUUCAUUGAUAUAUUCCCAGUAUCUAAAAUUUUUUUUAAAGGACGUAAUUAUUAUAUUGUCCACAAAGAUAAAUCUAUUGAAAAGCAUUAAAGCUUCAAAAUUAUUCCAAUGAGAAAUAUUUUUAAUGUAGGAUGAAAUCUUAAAAAAAAAAAACCAUUUCAACUCAGUAAUGACAGAAGGCAGAAUUUGAAUAAAAAUAUGAAAUGUUGAAGAAACCACACUAUUUUGAUCAAAACAUUGUAUAAAUCCUGUAUCAGUUAUAAAUAUUGCCAGUUAUUUUAUCAUUUAGUCAAAGUAUUUAAUUAGUAUAAAGGGUGGAUAUACCAUUAAAAUGAAAAUUGAAGUAAAUGAACGACGUAUUUCAUGAAUGAAUUCUAUAAAAAAUUCUCACAUAAAAGUUAGUCUUCUUCAAUUUAAGCAAUUUAGUUAAUAAAAUAAACCAGUGGAAUGUUCAGAUAAAAUUAAUGCAAAAAUUAUGUCAUUAUGAUGUUAUUGAAAUAUACAAUGUUUUGAUAGAAACAGGAAGUGAUAACCAUGUAACACAGUUAAUAUGAUAAAAAAAUCUAUAAGUUUCAAUAUAAACUGAAAUGCAGAAAGUAACAUGAUGUGUGACUGAAAAUAUAAAUAUUCAAAACAAGGAAUUUAUCUGAGAAAAGAAUGAAGUAAUGUUUUUCCUCAAAUUAGCAGCAAUCAUAUCUGUAUUGUCUAAAACUUAUCUUAUUGAACUAAGAUAAGGCAUAUAUAGGGAAAACGUAUGACAGACAUUUAUUCAUAUUUGAUGAAAUUAAACAGUCUACUGCAAUUGAAUUUCUUCCAAAAAAAAAAAAGGGAGGGAUACCAAUUAUUGGCAAAUUUGUAGAGCAGAUUUGAAAGAAUCAUUAAAAAUUCAAAAACCGUUCUUAGACUUUGAAAAGAUACUAAAGAAAAACUAGAUUCCUGAAUAAUGAGGUUGAUGCUGCUUUUCUAUAUUAAAUGGUGACUGAAAUUGUGCUCUAAAAAUAAGCUAGGCAACUAGCUAAUUUUAACUUAGUUUCAUUCUGGGAAACAUACCUAUUUGGUUAAUUUUUUUAGAUUCAUCAAAUGCAUGCAUUGCUGGUUCAAUCAGAUUAUGUUGGCACAUUCCAUUCAAAUCUACAAAAGUAGGUAAAUUAGAAGAGGAAAAUAUCCUUUAUGCCUUAAAUUAAAGAAGCUAAAAGAAUAAAACUCACUGAAUAACUCUUCUCAGCGAAUCCAUAUUCGAUACCAAAGAAACGUCAACCCAUAAGCACUUCGAAUAUAAACAAUGGUUUCUGAUCAAACGGUACGGUGAAAUCAGAAAUCGACAAUUUCUAAUGAAAAAUCUUUCCUCUAUAGUU